GACGAACGCUGGCGGCGUGCUUAACACAUGCAAGUCGAACGGAAAGGCCCCCACUUUUUUGGUGGGGGUGCUCGAGUGGCGAACGGGUGAGUAACACGUGGGUGAUCUGCCCUGUACUUCGGGAUAAGCUUGGGAAACUGGGUCUAAUACCGGAUAGGACCAUGGUUUAGUGUCUCAUGGUGGAAAAAUUAUUGUUUUGGUGCAGGAUGAGCUCGCGGCCUAUCAGCUUGUUGGUGGGGUAAUGGCCUACCAAGGCGUCGACGGGUGGCCGGCCUGAGAGGGUGGACGGCCACAUUGGGACUGAGAUACGGCCCAGACUCCUACGGGAGGCAGCAGUGGGGAAUAUUGCACAAUGGGCGCAAGCCUGAUGCAGCGACGCCGCGUGGGGGAUGACGGCCUUCGGGUUGUAAACUCCUUUCGUUAGGGACGAAGCCGCACCUUUUUUGGGUGUGGUGACGGUACCUUUGUUAAGAAGCACCGGCUAACUACGUG
rnacentral:rRNA from 1 species